AGAGCUUAGAAAUAAAAAGUGAAUUACUGUAUUGUUGAUGCAGUGGAGCUCUGAAGAAUGAACUGUUUACUGAAGCAAUGGAUACUUGAGAACAGUUAAGUUAAUAUUACCUCCUUCAGUUAAUCUUACCUUUUACCUGCACAUCCUUCAACAUAUUUUGCAUAUUUUAUUGUUUGAAAAACAUGCCUUUGCAACAAAUGACUGAAAACAAAAUAAAAAUAAAAGCGUUCUGAGAACUAAUCAUUUCCCCAGUCCUGCAAUAACCCCCUUAGUUAUUGUCUGGACAGCUAGUAUCAGAUUUUGUUGCAUAAUGAAGAUUUUCCCUGUGACUGCUGUGAGGUCUAUCCAGAGCCUUCUCUUCUCCAGGCAGAACAACCCCAACUCCCUCAGCUUUUUUUCAAAGGAGCUCCAACCCUCUGAUCAUCCUCGCAGCCCUCCUCUGCAACAGGUUCAUGUCCUUCUUAUGUUGGCAGCCCCAGAACUGAACACAGUACUUUAGGUGGGGGUCUAGUUUUGUACGCCACAUCUCUGUCAAGGUUGUUUGCUGUUCCUCCUGAAAGCUAUCAGCAAUUAAUUUUGUUCUUUUUACAGAAUCACAGAGUGGAUGAGGUUGGAAGGGACCUCUGAAGAUCAUCUAGACCAAUCCCCCUGCCAAGCUUUUCAGGUAGGAGUUUCAGAAAAAGCCCUACGGGUUCCCUCAGGCAACUCCUGCUGAGUCUAGAGCAAUUUGUGUGUAUCAGUGUUAAUCAGCAUGGGAAAUGAGUGGAGCACGUGGCUGUACCAGAGAGUCUGAGUGGUUUCUGCUACACCACUAACCAAACUGGACAUAGUUUUUCACAGCACUACAUGCAUGUCCCUAUUGAGACUGUUAUCAAAUGGAUACUGGAGUCUCAUCUUUUAAAGGGGAGGUGCAACUCAGAAGGUUCUUAAACAGCAACAGAUUAAAGUGUUGGCUUAAGAAGAAGAUUUGUACCACCAGUGAAGUUCGAAGGUGACACAAGUAUUGUGAAUAUAGCAGUUGCUGGAAAAGAGAAAACUGCUGGUGCAGAAUGAUUUGAAUUGGUUGGUAUGCUGAAAGAGCAAAGAAAACCAUGUUUUACUGUGAUUUUUUUUUCCCCAGUAGUGAUAAUGAUGGUAAGGAUAGGGAGAGUUCCCUUGUGGCAAACGACAAUGGAAAAGUCUUGAAACUCCUGUGGAAUAUCACCUAGAUGUGACCAGAAUAUUGUUGUGACUGAAAGAUCUCAUGUAAUCUUGCCUAUAUAGAGAGAGAACUAUCAAAUUUGGGGUAUAGAAGGUAUAUCAUCUGUACAUCUGAUAUAUGUUCCAUAUUUUUUUAAAGGAAUGUAGUGGUUUUACCCUGAUGGACAGAUGAACUCCACCACAACUACUCUCUUGCUCCCCUUCCUCAAAGGGGAGGGAGGGAGGGAGGGGAAAGAGCAGGAGGGGAGAAAGUAUGAUGGGAAAGGAAAAGGCUCACAGGUUGAGAAAAGGAUAAUUUAAUGAGAGGGAAAAGAAACAACAACAACAACAAAAAUCACACAAAGAUCAUACUGUUGUAUUGACUUAUACAACAGAAGUGUGAUCAGACACACCUUCAUGAGUUUCCCAGCAAGCAAAGUAAUCUGUACCAUAUCAGAAAAAUGUUGAAAAUGCUUCAAAUGUGGAAAAAAAAUCCAACAAAAUUCCAGCUCUUGACUGGCCCCAGAAGUUGAAUUCAUGAUAGUAAAAGAUAAAAGUACAGCAAGAGAAAUUGCACAAUUUACAUUCUUUAAAUGGCUUGAGUUUAGAAGGUUAAUGUACAAUACAUGGAGACCCCACAGUGCAGUGUCCCAUCACAGAACAUUAUCAAAUGCUACCCCUGACAGCCUGUGAGCUGAAGGUCAAGAAUUUAUCAUCCUUUCAUUAAAUAAUCAGAAUGGAAAUAAAUGAACAAUAGAAGGUGAGAAAAUCAACAGCUAUAAUGGCAGUAAGAUUAAAACUAGCGCUUUAAGGAGGAUUACUGUUAAAGUCCACUAGAUUUUAACAGUAAAUGCCAAGGUUUGGGAUUUUGUUGGAGAUGAAAACCCUAAGCUAUUUUCUUCACUGUGAUGACCUUUCUGUUGUAAUUUUCCUUUGAGCAAAUUGAUAAUAGGAAAAUAAGAGGGAAGAUAAUCUCACCCUGAUAUGCUCUGCCCAUUCACGGUUUUGCUCAAGAUUGUGUUUUCAAAUGAGAAAAAGAAAGCCCUUCUUUCAUUUGAAAUCUCAUGAACUAUUUAGCCUUAAAUCACAGGAGAUACAACAACCUGAAUGACUCCAGUAGUUUGCAUUCUGUGAAUAAUUAUGCUUUUCCUAUGAGAAAAUGAAGUUAUUACCUGGUUUAAUAUGUCGCUUCCUAAUUCCAGGAGAGGUUUGCCUUUUUAAGCUUUAUUGCAAAGACUGAAAUGCUCAUUUGCUCUUUCUUUUCCCCCCUCCUCCACCUGUCCAUCAUUUUUAUUAUGUCAUUAAGAGAACUAGAUAUAUAUUAGCUGCUAUGGGCUCAGAUACAAGGUGAUGCAAAGGAAAGAGGAGGUAUCUUCAUCUUUGAGUUAUAUAUAUGAUGACCAAAAUAAAUACGUGAAUUUUUUCUGCCUGUAGACUUUCAAUUACGCUUACAGAUAAAAUAAAUACUAAACCCCUUUCCUUACUGCUGAAGUCAGGAUGUAUCCAUUUUCUAUAUAAGCUGAUCUAUGUUUGAAUAUAUGUACUGAUUAUAGCAUUGAAUUGAUAGUGCAACUGUGUUCAAAAAGACAAUAAAGGCAGAGUCCUAGCAAUUCUGGCAGUAAAUCCAGUCUCAAAAUAAUGUAAUUAUUUAAUAUAGUCUUCUUUUGCUAGGUCUUGAUUCUGUUUAAAGGAAAAUAAUAUAUUCCUCUUUUGUUCUGCACAGCAACAGAGCAAGUUGAGAGUAACAGAAUGUUCUAUUAACUGAACUAACGGAGCAGCUCUUUCUGCUAAACUUAUAUAACUCUUUAGACACACCAUGUGCUGCUUGUUCACUUCCAGUCUAUCUCCUAAUCAUUCUAGCAAGUCAAGUAAGGUCUCUUCCUGCUUAAAGGAUAUUUCCCUACAUCACAGUCUUGAAGCCUCACUUGCUGCUAAUUGCAGUGAUUGCAAAUGUGUUGACACUAAAGCUUGUUGAAUGCUGAAAAGAAAUCUGCAAAUAUUUAUUUGACUUAGUAAGCACAUGUGUUUUCACAGUGUUCACACCCUUUGGAGAUUUACUUCUACUCACAAGCUUAGUAACACGAAUGGUUGCAAAGCAACGUAUUUUGAAUAAAUAUUGCGAAUUUCUGGAAAGCAAAUUUCAAAAUCAUAAUGGCAAAUAUUAUUGCUGAAAAACUGUUCUUAAGCAGACUGUUAAGACUUACUAAAGUUGGUAUAAUAUUCUGUAGAUGAAAUAGCUCGUGAGUUUUCAAGAAUAAGAGAGAUCAGUGAAUUUGCCAGUUUGCACCAGCAAAAAACUUAACUGCUAAGCCAUAUCUGUAGAGCCAUCUGGGCAUCAUUACUUGAGAUGUGCACAGUUUGUCCUUGGGGAAAUGAGGGAUUUAAAUGCCAAAAUAAAUGUACUGUGCUACGGUUUAAAGUAUACACUGAAUUGUUUUAACAUUCUCAUCUCUCUUUCAUUUUGAAAACCGCAGAGCCCUGCAGUGAUCAGUUUAUUAGUGAACUUUUGUGAAAAAUAGUGCUCAAAGGAUCCUAUUUCUCUGUGUCUUCAUUUUCUCAAACCUCCUUAGAUAUUUUCCUUACAGGAUUUUUGUUCUCCAUGCUAUGUACUUGACAAUAUAAGAAAACAAGCUAAUGGGGUUGAAAUGGAAGAAAGAUACAGGUGAGGAGACAACAGUAAAGAAGGGAUACAAUCCUAAUUUCUAAAUAAGAAAAGGGGAAUAGAUGAUUUUGUAAUUUUUGGCUAGUAAAUUUCACACCUUUGCAUAGAAAUCAGGAAAAGAUGAUAAAUUAUAUAUUAUAUAACUAUAGAACCUACUCUUUAACUGCCAUUUCACCUCUGGUCUACAUUACUUUACAUUUAAAACAUUAUUAGGAAUAUUACCCAUAAAAGCUAAGCAUGGGAACAAGGUUAAGCCUGAGAAAUAAAAUUACCUUUUCCUUUCAAUUCUUUAAUGUAUAUAUUGCAAUGUUAAGGGAAAAAUGAAAUAUUAUGUUGAAGCUUUUUUGAAUCAUUUAAUCUUAGACUGCUCUUUAGGUUCAGUAUACUGAAUCCUACUUUGAUGAAGUUACUUAAAAAAAAGAAUGAUAAAAAUGUGCUGAUGUUCAACCUUAUAGAAAUACUAUUGCAAGCUUAAACAAGCAGUUGUCCAUUUUAUACUGGUGCAAAAUGUAAGAUGUUGACAAAAGAAUUUAAGGCAAAAAAAAAAAAAAAGGAGUUAAAUUCCUUUGAAAAAAAUAGUGUGGUUGCCCCACACUUUUUCUUUAGAUGCUUCCCUUUCUUUUACCUCAGUCCCAGUUAUUUGAGGUUGCCAUGUGUUAUUAGAAAAAAAUCUUAGAUCAGUUUAUUGUCAGUGUGUACAGCUUUCCCCAAACUAUUAUAAUAAGAAGCCAAUUCACCUGCAAUGUUUGAAAACAAUUUGCUGCUGCUGUGUGUGUAUUCAGUGUCUUACAAAAUGCAGGUAAUUGUUUUAAUUGUUUAUUUAGCAGUAUCUGAUUAAACAUGCAGACAUAUCACCAUAAUUAAGCUAGUUCUGUUCUGAACUUGGCGUAAAUCAGCUCAGAUGCUGAGGUCUAAUCACUGGUAGUUGAAAGCACUAGUGGCAUCUGGUGAGACAAAUGGAUAAAUAUCUUACAGAAGCCUGGGAGUUGGUGAGGUUACCAGCCUCACAGAAGACCAUUAUUUUGUCAUUAACUGGUGUGAGCAACAGUGUAUAACUCAUUUGCAGAACUCUCAAACUAUGAACGUUUCCUUCCCCUUCCUUCUCAUUCCCCUCCUCCCCCCAAGCGAUGUGCAAAAUUUUAGUAAGAGACUCCAUGUCCUGAAGACCAUACCUUUGAAGUAUAUAAGACGGGCAAAGUGUGGCAGAAGGGAAGAACUGUUAUAACUAAUUUACAGGAAACUGAAGCUCAAAGAUGUUAACUUUUUCUAAGAUCAGACAGGAGGCUGGAACUGUGAAUCAAGGUAAGGAGCUUAAGGACAGGAUGUUCUUUCUGGAUUUGUUUUCUUAAAUAUUGGAAAGAAAAUGUUUGUGAUCUCCAGAUUUGACAUAGCAGGGAUAUUUCUCCCCUUGGAAAUCUCCAUGGAAACGCAUGAUACAGAUUGAAAUGGAGACUGCAAAGCAAAAGCAAUACAGCUCUGGGCUGUUUAACUGUAGCAAAGAAUUUUCUAUGUGGUAACAUCUCCUUAAAAGUGGAUUAGGAUAACUGUGAAUAAAGGGAGCAUCUUUGUCAAGGGCUAAAACCAGAACUUUUGUCAUCAGUGAAAUGCUGUGGCAAUGUGGCACCUGUUCUGUAAGGGUUAUCAGAUUAUAAAGGCUGAAAAGUAGGACAAAUCCAGAAGAAAAAUCACUCUUAUAGUAGACCAGGAUUGUUUAAUGCACCUGUAGGAUGGCAUCAUGAUUGUUCCUUGUAUGCACCAUUAUGUUGUGUAUUUCUCUGGCUGCUCAGCAGCUAGUGGAAAAUACAGAAACCUCAACCGAUUAAUUUGCAAAUGGAGUCAGGAUUUUUGUAUAUAGAAUGAAGGUUUUGAUUCCUAAAGGUUGUCUGUCAGUCUUUUUUUUCAGCCUUCUUUUGGAAUCUUGUCGCAUAAAGGCCAGACUCAGCCUAUUCUGGGUAGAACACCACAAAUUAGAAAUUUUAUGGUUUUAAUAUUUCUAAGACUUCAAGGUAGAGUUAGGCAUUGUGGUCCUUUUUAUGCAAAAGUAACUAGUUCAGAGACUAAUGCUGCUUCUUUUUGCCCAUAUGUCUUAAUCUCCAUCAUAAUUUUUAGGUCCUAAGAAAUGCAGAUUUGGGCCUUUUCUGUUCUAAACUGACUGUGCAAAAUUUGUUCUGAGUUGAUGGUGCUGCUUAGUCAGUUCUACCAAGAAUGAAAUAUAUGCAUAUGUAGUUUACGUAUGUGACACAUUUAUUUACCUUCAUUGUUAUCCUACUAUGCUUAUAUUCUUCCCAUAAAAUAAUGGCUAAUAAAGUUUUCCUUUAAUUAGUACAUUUUGAUUUGAUAUUUUCUAGCUCAUUUAAGACAUGCAGAAUUACUAUUUGCUUGUGUUUAUUUUCUUUUUGCAAACUUACAGUUAUGUUCCUUUACUGAGAGACAAUGUGAACAGUUAAUACCGGUUUUCUAGCUUUCAUGCUUUCUAGCAUACUGUCUUGCAUUUUAAGUUAUG